UCAAUCCUUGUCUUGGGGAGCAUAUUAUCCAAUGAGCGUGUAGUGAGGAUAUUGUUGCUGACAACCCAUUAUACCGGUAUGAUCUCGAUUGUAUCGCGUUAGAACCCCCGCCCUGGUUAGUUGCUUUCGAACAGUGACUAGCUGGGCGGAAUUUUUGUAACG